AUGUUCAAGCUGGUUUUAGAAAAGGCAGAGGAACCAGAGGUCAAAUUGCCAACAUCCGCUGGAUCAUGGAAAAAGCAAGAGAGUUCCAGAAAAACAUCUAUUUCUGCUUUAUUGACUAUGCCAAAGCCUUUGACUGUGUGGAUCACAAUCAACUACAGAAUUCUGAAAGAGAUGGGAAUACCAGACCACCUGACCUGCCUCUUGAGAAACCUGUAUGCAGGUCAGGAAGCGACAGUUAGAACUGGACAUGGAACAACAGACUGGUUCCAAACAGGAAAAGGAGUACAUCAAGGCUGUAUAUUGUCACCCUGCUUAUUUAACUUAUAUGCAGAGUACAUCAUGAGAAACGCUGAGCUGGAAGAAGCACAAGCUGGAAUCAAGAUUGCUGGGAGAAAUAUCAAUAACCUCACAUAUGCAGAUGACACCACCCUUAUGGCAGAAAGUGAAGAGGAACUAAAAAGCCUCUUGAUGAAAGUGAAAGAGAAGAGUGAAAACGUUGGCUUAAAGCUCAACAUUCAGAAAACAAAGAUCAUGGCAUCUUGUCCCAUUACUUCAUGGGAAAUAGAUGGGGAAACAGUGGAAACAGUGUCAGAGUUUAUUUUGGGGAGCUCCAAAAUCACUGCAGACAGUGACUGCAGCCAUGAAAUUAAAAGAUGCUUACUCCUUGGAAGAAAAGUUAUGACCAACCUAGAUAGCAUAUUGAAAAGCAGAGACAUUACUUUGCCAACAAAGGUCCGUCUAGUAAAGGCUAUGGUUUUUCCUGUGGUCAUGUAUGGAUGUAAGAGUUGGACUGUGAAGAAUGCUGAGUGUCGAAGAAUUGAUGCUUUUGAACUGUGGUGUUGGAGAAGACUCUUGAGAGUCCCUUGGACUGCAAGGAGAUCCAACCAGUCCAUUCUGAAGGAGAUCAGCCCUGGGAUUUCUUUGGAGGGAAUGAUGCUGAAGCUGAAACUCCAGUAUUUUGGCCACCUCAUGCAAAGUGUUGACUUACUGGAAAAGACUCUGAUGCUGGGAGGGAUUGGGGGCAGGAAGAGAAGGGGACGACAGAGGAUGAGAUGGCUGGAUGGCAUCACGGACUCAAUGGACAUGAAUCUGAGUGAACUCCGGGAGUUGGUGAUGGACAGGGAGGCCUGGAGUGCUGCGAUUCAUGGGGUCACAAAGAGUCGGACACGACAGAGCGACUGA
rnacentral:lncRNA from 1 species